UUUCGCAAUGCCCGAAAGGGCGACGAAGCGACGCCGCGUGCGGGAAGAAGGCCUUCGGGUUGUAAACCGCUGUCGGGAGUUAAGAAAUGCAAGGAUGUUAAUAGCAUCUUUGUUUGACUAAGGCUCCGGAGGAAGCCACGGCUAACUCUGUGCCAGCAGCCGCGGUAAUACAGAGGCGGCAAGCGUUGUUCGGAAUUAUUGGGCGUAAAGAGCACGUAGGCGGCUGUGUAAGUCGGUUGUGAAAGCCUUCCGCUUAACGGAAGAACGGCAUCCGAUACUGCAUGGCUCGAGUGCGGGAGGGGAGAGUGGAACUUCUGGUGGAGCGGUGAAAUGCGUAGAUAUCAGAAGGAACACCGGCGGCGAAGGCGACUCUCUGGCCCGUAACUGACGCUGAGUGUGCGAAAGCUAGGGGAGCAAACGGGAUUAGAUACCCCGGUAGUCCUAGCCGUAAACGAUGGGCACUAAGUAGAGGGGAAUC
rnacentral:rRNA from 1 species